rnacentral:lncRNA from 1 species
CACUCACCUUUUUCCUUAGUAAGUGGACUAUAUGAAUACAGUAGAGCAAGAAGAUCGCCCAAAGAUAAUGCCAUACGAGAGCUUGUUGUAGAAGUGGCCUCAGUAACAAAGGUAGACAAAUCUGAGUAUAGAUAAUCACCUUCUUGCAAGGCUCUAGCGGCCAAGUGAUCAGCCAGUUGAUUACCUUCUCGAUAUGUAUGUGA